rnacentral:tRNA from 1 species
GUUGCCCAACGGAUAAGGCACCGGACUUCGAAUCCGGCUAUUGGGGGUUCGAUUCCCUCCGGG